rnacentral:rRNA from 1 species
UACUACUUACAGAUCGAUAGUGAACAAGUACCGUGAGGGAAAGGUGAAAAGUACUCCAGCGAGGAGAGUGAAAUAGAACCUGAAACCAUUAGCUUACAAUCAUUCAGAGCCCUAUGAUUUAUCAGGGUGAUGGACUGCCUUUUGCAUAAUGAGCCUGCGAGUUGUGGUGUCUGGCAAGGUUAAGUCAAGUACGAAGCCGUAGCGAAAGCGAGUCUUAAUAGGGCGAAUUAGUCAGAUGCUGCAGACCCGAAACGAAGUGAUCUAUCCAUGAGCAGGUUGAAGCUGGUGUAAGAGCCAGUGGAGGACCGAACCGAUAGGCGUUGAAAAGUCUCCGGAUGACUUGUGGAUAGGGGUGAAAGGCCAAUCAAACUUCGUGAUAGCUGGUUCUCUCCGAAAUAUAUUUAGGUAUAGCCUUGUGUUGUAGCAUAUAGGGGUAGAGCACUGAAUGGGCUAGGGCUGCUUACCGCGGUACCAAACCCUAUCAAACUAUGAAUACUAUAUGUGGAAUCACAGGAGUCAGGCGAUGGGUGAUAAAAUCCACCGUCGAGAGGGGAACAACCCAGACUAACAGCUAAGGUCCCUAAGUCACAUCUAAGUGGAAAACGAUGUGGAGUUACUGUGACAACCAGGAGGUUGGCUUAGAAGCAGCCAUCCUUUAAAGAAAGCGUAACAGCUCACUGGUCUAGAUAAGGACUUCUGCGGCGAAGAUGUAACGGGGCUCAAGACACGUACCGAAGCUUUGGGUGUGCAUUUAUGCACGCGGUAGCGGAGCGUUCCGUAAGCCUGUGAAGCGGUCUGGUAAUGGGCCGUGGAGGUAUCGGAAGUGCGAAUGUUGACAUGAGUAGCGAUAAACAGUGUGAGAUGCACUGUCGCCGAAAGCCUAAGGGUUCCUACGCAAGGCUAAUCCGCGUAGGGUGAGCCGGUCCCUAACACGAGCCCGAAGGGGGUAGUGGAUGGAAAUACGGUUAAUAUUCCGUAGCCUGGAGAUGUGUGACGGAUUCCUUAUAUUGUCUGGUCUUAUUGGAUUGAUCAGGCUUUGACGGGGUCCCAGGAAAUAGCCUCUCCGUAUAGACCGUACCCGAAACCGACACAGGUAGGCUGGUAGAGUAUACCAAGGCGCUUGAGAGAAGGGUGUUGAAGGAACUCGGCAAAUUGCCUCCGUACCUUCGGAAGAAGGAGGCCCGAUAUAAGCGCAAGCUCUUAUCGGGGGCACAGGCCAGGGGGUAGCGACUGUUUAACAAAAACACAGGGCUCUGCUAAGUCGGCUUCAAGACGACGUAUAGGGUCUGACGCCUGCCCGGUGCCUGAAGGUUAAGUGGAGGGGUGCAAGCUCCGAAAUGAAGCCCAGGUAAACGGCGGCCGUAACUAUAACGGUCCUAAGGUAGCGAAAUUCCUUGUCGGG